rnacentral:lncRNA from 1 species
CCAUGUAGAAAUGAACCCUCUCUCCCCUAUUUCCUCUAAUUAUCCUUUCUUCCCUGGUUCUCUCCCUUCUCUAGCUGGACUUCCACAGAGGUCUGCUGACCGUGGACCCCAGAGAGGACACCGGCCCCAGACUGCCGUGGGUCCUGGAGGUCCCAAAGUCCGACCGGGGGGGCUGCCCCCUCUGAUGCCUGAACGGGACGGGCGCGUGGACCGCGGGGCUGUCGGAGGGGUGCGGGACCAGUGGGCGGAGAGAGAGGGAGAUGGAACGCCGGGAGAGGACCAGGGCGGAACGCGGUGGGACCGGGACAGGUGCGAGAUUGGAGGCAAACCAGGAGAGGAGAGGGGAGAGGGAGGAGAUCUCGCUCCCGGAUAGAGAGGGAGGCGAGCGAAAGGGAGAGGGAAGGGAAGGAGAAGAGAUCGACAAAAAGGAUGAACCUCCUGUCAAACUACUAGACGACCUCUUCAAUAAGACCAAAGCAGCUCCCUGUAUAUACUGGCUUCCCCUCACUGAGGAACAGGCAAACCAGAGGGGAAGGAACGGGAAGAGCGACAGAAGAAAGACGGAGAGGAGGAGGAAGGAAAGAACAGCAGGAGGAGGAGACAAGAAGCGAGAGGAGGAGAAGGAGAGAAUGAAAAGUAAAGAGGAGGGAGGCGCUGCGGUCAGCACUGGAGGUGGGAGUGUCCGGGGAUUGAGGGAAACAGGGACAGAGAGGGGGAGCGAGGGAGGGACAGAGAGGGGGACGAGGGAGGGACGGACAAGAGGAAGGAAUGGGUUUCAAAACCCAAAGGCCCGAUGUAAACCUUGCCGGUUCCGACACUCCCGCAGCCGUAGCAACUCCGAGACAGACGCCGCUGAGCGGGGUCACAGUGACGGAGAGACGGAGGCAGGGACGGGGGGAAAAAUGAAGGAUGCAACAUGUCCCCCUCCUUUCACCUUAAAACUAUCCAUUACUCCUUGGUAAUAGUUUCCCCUUACUAGUCAACUGUCCUUUAGGCCAGGGAGACUCCAGUUUAGAAAAGCCCUCCUCACAUUUACACGUAUAAACUACCUGGUCACAUGUUGAUUGUAGUGAAGUGAAACUGGCUCCUAAAUGGUACCCAUCUCCUGUAGCAGUCCCUCGUUGACAGUAUUGUCCUAUGUAGGGAAUGGAUAUGGUGCCAUUCAGACAUUCUCUCUUCCUCCGUCUGUCUGCUGUACGUAUUGGGGUGUAUGUGGGUCUUCCUCAUACGAAGCAGUUGGAGGCUAUUGCUGAGCUCUGUAAAUAGUCCUACAUUUUAACCAGAGAUGGAAACAAAGGGUGGGGGUUUGGCUCCCUCUAGCUUAUGUGCGCUGCACUCUGAGGCUUGGAACGAAGUAAUAUCCAUUUAA